CACGUAGGGCGCAAGCGUUUGUCCGGAAUUAUUGGGCGUAAAGAGCUCGUAGGUGGUUUGUUACGUCUGCUGUGAAAACCUAGGGCUUAACCCUGGGCUUGCAGUGGAUACGGGCAGACUAGAGGUAGGUAGGGGAGAAUGGAAUUCCUGGUGUAGCGGUGAAAUGCGCAGAUAUCAGGAGGAACACCGGUGGCGAAGGCAGCUCGCUGGGACGUUACUGACGCUGAGACGCGAAAGCGUGGGGAGCAAACAGG
rnacentral:rRNA from 1 species